rnacentral:rRNA from 1 species
AGUGGCCAACCCCGUUCGGUUACGUAUUGCUGGGGAAAGCAGGGGACCUUCCGGGCCUCGCACUAUUAAACCGGCCGAUAUCGGAUUAACGGCAGUUGGUGGGGUAACAGCUCGCAAGGCGACGAUCCGUAGCUGGUUUGAGAGGACGACCAGCCACACUGGGACUGAGACACGGCCCGAACUCCUACGGGAGGCGGCAGUGGGGAAUUUUGGACAAUGGGGAAACCUGAUGCAGCCAUCCCGCGUGUGCGAUGAAGGCCUUCGGGUUGUAAAGCACUUUUAGCGGGAAAGAAACGGCACGGGAUAAUACCCCGUGCAACUGACGAACCUGCAAGAAUAAGCACCAGCUAACUACGUGCCAGCCGCGGUAAUACGUAGGGUGCAAGCGUUAAUCGGAAUUACUGGGCGUAAAGCGUGCGCAGGCGGUUCGGAAAGAAAGAUGUGGAAUCCCAGAAGCAAGCACACGGAACUGCAUUUUUAACUACCGAGCUAGAGUGUGUCAGGGAGGUUCCAGGAAUUCCACGUGCCAGCAGUGAAAUGCGUAGAUGUGCGGAGGAACACCGAUGGCGAAGGCAGCCUCCUGGGAUAUUUACUGACGCUCAUGCACGCGAAAGCGUGGGGAGCAAACGGGAUUAGAUACCCUGGUAGUCCACGCCUAAACGAUGUCAACUAGCUGUUGGGGCCUUCGGGCCUUGGUAGCGCAGCUAACGCGUGAAGUUGACCGCCUGGGGAGUACGGUCGCAAGAUUUAAAACUCAAAGGAAUUGACGGGGACCCGCACAAGCGGUGGAUGAUGUGGAUUAAUUCGAUGCUGCAAAGAACCGCCACCCUUGACAUGUCUGGAAUCCCGAAGAGAUUUGGGAGUGCUCGCAAAGAGAACCGGAACACAGGUGCUGCAUACAGCUUGUCGUCAGCUCGUGUCGUGAGAUGUUGGGUUAGAGUACAACGAAACUGCAACCCUUGUCAUUAGUGAUUGCUACGAAAGGGCACUCUAAUGCUGAGACUGCCGGUGACAAACCAGGAGGAAGGUGGGGAUGACGUCAAGUCCCCAUGGCCCUUAUGGGGCAGGGCUUCACCACGUCAUACAAUGGUCAGGACAGAGGGUCGCCAACCCGCGAGGGGGAGCCAAUCCCAGAAACCCGAUCGUAGUCCGGAUCGCAGUCUGCAACUCGACUGCGUGAAGUCGGAAUCGCUAGUAAUCGCCGGAUCGGCAUGUCGCGGUGAAUACGUUCCCGGGUCUUGUACCCACCGCCCGUCACCAUAGGAGUGGGUUUUACCAGAAGUAGUUAGCCUAACCGUAAGGAGGGCGAUUACCACGGUAGGAUUCAUGACUGGGGUGAAGUCGUAACAAGGUAA